rnacentral:misc_RNA from 1 species
GAUGAAGAACGUAGUGAAAUGCGAUAUGUAAUGUGAAUUGCAGAAUUCCGUGAAUCAUCGAAUCUUUGAACGCACAUUGCGCCCUCCGGCAUUCCGGAGGGCACGCCUGUCCGAGCGUCAUUACAACCCUCAAGCUCUGCUUGGUAUUGGGCGUCCCGCCCGACGGCCACCCCCCUCGGGGGGCGGGCCGCGGGCGCGCCUCAAAGAACUCGGCGGUCCCAGGACGGCUUCGGGCGUAGCAGAAGCGAAUCGCCUCGGAGCCCGCCCCGGCGGCCUGCCGCACAAGUGACACGCAACUUUUUGCAAGGUUGACCUCGGAUCAGGCGGGGAUACCCGCUGAACUUAAGCAUAUCAAUAAGCGGAGGA